UGAGGAAUAUUGGUCAAUGGACGCAAGUCUGAACCAGCCAUGCCGCGUGCAGGAUGACGGCUCUAUGAGUUGUAAACUGCUUUUGUACGAGGGUAAACUUAGGUACGUGUACCUAACUGAAAGUAUCGUACGAAUAAGGGUCGGCUAACUCCGUGCCAGCAGCCGCGGUAAUACGGAGGACCCGAGCGUUAUCCGGAUUUAUUGGGUUUAAAGGGUGCGUAGGCGGUUUAUUAAGUUAGAGGUGAAAGCUCGAUGCUCAACAUCGAAAUUGCCUCUGAUACUGAUAGACUAGAGUAUAGUUGCUGUGGGCGGAAUGUGUAGUGUAGCGGUGAAAUGCUUAGAUAUUACACAGAACACCGAUUGCGAAGGCAGCUCACAAAGCUAUUACUGACGCUGAGGCACGAAAGCGUGGGGAGCGAACA
rnacentral:rRNA from 1 species